rnacentral:rRNA from 1 species
CGGUCUUCGGACUGGCGGCGAGCGGCGGACGGCUGAGUAACGCGUAGGAACGUACCCCAAACUGAGGGAUAACUGCUCGAAAGAGUAGCUAAUACCGCAUGUGAUCUCCGGAUUAAAGCUUCGGCGGUUUGGGAACGGCCUGCGUACGAUUAGAUAGUUGGUGAGGUAAUGGCUCACCAAGUCGACGAUCGUUAGCUGGUCUGAGAGGAUGAUCAGCCAGACUGGGACUGAGAACGGCCCAGGCUCCUACGGGAGGCAGCAGUAGGGAAUUUUCCACAAUGGGGGCAACCCUGAUGGAGCAACGCCGCGUGCAGGAUGAAGGCCUUCGGGUUGUAAACUGCUUUUAUAUGUGACGAAUAUGACGGUAGCAUAUGAAUAAGGAUCGGCUAACUCCGUGCCAGCAGCCGCGGUCAUACAGAGGAUCCAAGCGUUAUCCGGAAUUACUGGGCGUAAAGAGUUGCGUAGGUGGCAGAGUAUGUCUGUAGUGAAAGCGUAUGGCUCAACCAUAUACACAUUACAGAAACUGCUCAGCUAGAGGGCGAGAGAGGUUACUAGAAUUCCUUGUGUAGGAGUGGAAUCCGUAGAUAUAAGGAGGAAUACCGAUGGCGUAGGCAGGUAACUGGCUCGUCCCUGACACUAAGGCACGAAAGCGUGGGGAGCAAACGGGAUUAGAUACCCCGGUAGUCCACGCCGUAAACGAUGGAUGCUAGCUGUUAUAGGUAUCGACCCCUGUAGUAGCGAAGCUAACGCGUUAAGCAUCCCGCCUGUGGAGUACGGUCGCAAGACUAAAACAUAAAGGAAUUGACGGGGACCCGCACAAGCGGUGGAGCGUGUUGUUUAAUUCGAUGGUAAACGAAGAACCUUACCCAGGUUUGACAUCCUU